AAGAGUCAAGAACAUUAUUUAGAUGAUACUGUAGAGAUGAACUCUUCUCUGGGCUUAGUGACUGUGGUACUCUUAGUGCUUGGACGAAUCCAUGGAGACUCGGUGACCCAGACAAAAGGCCAAGUGACUCUCUCAGAAGGGGCUCCCCUGACUGUGAAUUGCUCCUAUGAGACCAUACUGUUCCCUGCUCUUUUCUGGUAUGUUCAGUAUCCUGGAGAAGGUCCACAGCUCCUCCUGAAAGCCACAAGGGUCAACGAGAAUGGAAGCAGCAAAGGAUUUGUAGCCACAUACCAAAAACAACCAAAUGCCUUCCACUUGGAGAAAGCCUCAGUCCACCAGUCAGAUUCUGCAAUGUACUACUGUGCACUGCGUGACACAGUGACAGAAACUGCAGGGGGAGCUGAGCACAAACUCUGAACAAGGCG